UACGUAGGGGGGCAAGCGUUGUCCGGAUUUAUUGGGCGUAAAGAGCGUGUAGGCGGCCAGGUAGGUCGGUUGUGAAAACUGGAGGCUCAACCUCCAAACGUCGACCCGAAACCAUCUGGCUAGAGUCCGGAAGAGGAGAGUGGAAUUCCGUGGUGUAGCGGUGAAAUGCGCAGAUAUCAGGAAGAACACCCGUGGCGAAAGCGGCUCUCUGGGACGGUACUGACGCUGAGACGCGAAAGCGUGGGGAGCGAACAGGG
rnacentral:rRNA from 1 species